AUGUUUAUGGCCAACUCACACGGUCUUCCUCUCUAUGAAAGGGUUGAGCACAGAAACACACUGCAUAAAGUCAUGGAGUUUAUAAUCCUUGUCCUCCUCAUGUCACUCCUUGUUUAUCGUCUCAUAUCUUUCAAAAACCAUUGUUUAUCCUGGUCCAUUGGAUUCCUCUGCGAGCUCUGGUUUACCUUCAGUUGGGUCAUCACCAUCAGCAAUAAAUGGAAUAUUGUUGACCAUAAACCGUAUGCUGACCGCCUCUUGCAACGGGUGCCUAAGGAUGAGCUUCCAGCAGUAGACUUGUUUGUGACCACAGCAGACCCAGAGCUUGAACCACCUAUCAUUACCAUAAACACUGUGUUGUCUCUGUUGGCAGUUGAUUACCCAACAAACAAACUAGCAUGCUAUGUUUCUGAUGAUGGCUGUUCCCCUAUCACCUUUUACUCACUUGUGGAAGCAUCAAAGUUUGCUAAGAAUUGGGUUCCCUUCUGCAAAAAGUACAAUGUUCAAGUUAGAGCUCCUUUUAGAUAUUUCACCAAGAAUUCCACGCUUUCUGGAAAUAGUAAUAACUCAAUGGAAUUCAAGCAAGAAUGGAAGAGACUGAAGGAUGAUUAUGAGCAACUUAGUGGCAAAAUUGAGGAUGCUGUGUGCAACUCUAUCAAUCCAUCUGAUACUAUCGAAUGCGACUUUUCAGUUUUCUUAAAUGUACAACGUAAUAAUCAUCCAACAAUAAUCAAGGUUGUAUGGGAGAACAAAGAAGCACAUUCGAAUCGAGCAGUUCCACACUUAGUUUAUAUAUCCCGAGAAAAACGGCCAAAGCAUCCGCAUCAUGCCAAAGCUGGGGCCAUGAAUGUUCUGACUAGAGUCUCUGGGUUGAUGACCAAUGCUCCAUACAUGCUAAACGUGGAUUGUGACAUGUUCAUCAACAACCCAAACAUUAUUCUUCAUGCAAUGUGUAUGCUACUUGGAUCAAAGAAUGAAAAUAAAAAUGCAUUUGUUCAGUGUCCUCAAGUCUUCUGUGAUGGUUUAAAGGAUGAUCCUUUCGGAAAUCAAAUGAUAGUUUGGUGGAAGUAUGUAGGACAAGGAUUUUCUGGGAUUCAGGGACCAUUUUAUUCUGGAACAGGAUGUGUUCAUAGACGAAAAGUCAUCUAUGGUCUAUCCCCCGAUUAUGUGAAAGUUGGAGAAACAAUUGCAGAAAGCAUGAUGAACGGUAAAUCAGCCGAUGAAGAAUUACAAGAUAUGUUUGGAAAAGAAUUUACCAAAUCAGCUGCUGAUGCUUUGAAUGGGAAGGCAGAGUGUCCAGACAUGCUUACAGAAACUAUUGAGGCUGCAUACCAAGUUGCUGGUGUUGGAUAUGAGUAUGGCACACAGUGGGGCAAAAAGGUAGGAUGCAUGUAUGGAUCCACAACUGAAGAUAUCCUGACUGGCCUUUCAAUUCAUAACAAAGGUUGGAGAUCCAUUGUUUAUGCUCCCGACCCACCAGCCUUUCUAGGAGACGCACGCGCCUACCGGUGGGCCUGCUUCAAUGACCCAACAAAAAAGGUGGGCCACCGGCCUGCUUGAAAUCCUCCUCAGCAAAAACUGCCCAUUAUUUGGUGUUCUCUUUGCAAACCUCCAGUUCAGGCAGUGCUUGGGCUACUUCACGAUCCUUUCGUGGGGGCUACGCUCAGUUCUCGAGCUAUGCUAUGCUGCUCUGCCAGCCUAUAGUAUCAUCACCAACUCACACUUCUUGCCCAAGGGCCAAGAACCAGCUUCUUAUAUACUCAUAGCUGCGCUUCUGAUCUACACUAUGUACACUUUAUCAGAGUACUUUAGAACUGGUCAAUCCAUCCGAGCAUGGUGGAAUAACCAAAGAAUGGGAAGAAUAAUCUCAAUGAGUGCAUGGCUUUUUGGAUUUCUUGGUGUCAUACUCAAACUGUUGGGCAUAUCCAAGACGGUCUUUGAAGUAACUCGAAAAGACCAGUCCAAUUCGAGUGAUGAAGGCACCGAAGCCGGAAAGUUCACCUUUGAUCAGUCCCCAGUUUUCGUACCUCCCACAGCAAUGUUGCUUGUGCAAUUAACAGCACUGGCCACCGCUUUGUUGGGGCUUCAACCACCAGCCCGUGAUGGGGUGGGAUCAGGCUCUUUGGAGACCAUGUGCAGUGUUUUGUUGGUGUUAUGCUUGUGGCCAUUUCUGAAGGGUCUGUUUCGAUCAGGAAAGUAUGGAAUUCCUGUGUCUACCUUAUCCAAGUCUGCCGGUCUUGCACUAGUCUUCUACACCUUGUGCAGAUAUUAGGACGGUUAGCUUGCAGCUAGUACCACUACUCUUAUACACCUUGUGCUAAUGAUGGUGCUGGCAAUCGCUUCAUUGGGUUCUCAACCGUCGGGGCCUCUCCACCCAGUUCUUAAAGGCUUGUUUGGUAGUGGCAAAUAUGUGAUUACUUACUGAAGUCGGUGAAAGUCUGCUUGUUUUGCUACUACUCUUGUGCACCUUUUGUAGAUAUUGGUAGCUUGUAAUAGUACUAGAGGAGCUUUUAUAGUUUUCACUUUGUAAAAUAUAU